UACGAAGGGGGCUAGCGUUGCUCGGAAUCACUGGCGUAAAGCGCACGUAGGCGGAUUGCUAAGUCAGGGGUGAAAUCCUGGAGCUCAACUCCAGAACUGCCUUUGAUACUGGCGACCUUGAGUCCGGGAGAGGUGAGUGGAACUGCGAGUGUAGAGGUGAAAUUCGUAGAUAUUCGCAAGAACACCAGUGGCGAAGGCGGCUCACUGGCCCGGUACUGACGCUGAGGCACGAAAGCGUGGGAGCGAACAGG
rnacentral:rRNA from 1 species